rnacentral:rRNA from 1 species
UCCAGACUCCUACGGGAGGCAGCAGUGAGGAAUAUUGGUCAAUGGGCUUACGCCUGAACCAGCCAAGUCGCGUGAGGGAAGACUGCCCUAUGGGUUGUAAACCUCUUUUGUCAGGGAGCAACGCCGGCUACGUGUAGCCGGACUGAGAGUACCUGAAGAAAAAGCAUCGGCUAACUCCGUGCCAGCAGCCGCGGUAAUACGGAGGAUGCGAGCGUUAUCCGGAUUUAUUGGGUUUAAAGGGUGCGUAGGCGGACUGGAAAGUCAGCGGUAAAAUCGAGAGGCCCACCCUCUUUCCGCCGUUGAAACUGUCGGUCUUGAGUGGGCGAGAAGUAUGCGGAAUGCGUUGUGUAGCGGUGAAAUGCAUAGAUAUUGCGCAGAACUCCGAUUGCGAAGGCAGCAUACCGGCGGCGAUCUGACGCUGAGGCACGAAAGCGUGGGUAUCGAACAGGAUUAGAUACCCGGGUAC